rnacentral:rRNA from 1 species
ACACAUGCAGUCGAGCGGAGAUGAGGUGCUUGCACCUUAUCUUAGCGGCGGACGGGUGAGUAAUGCUUAGGAAUCUGCCUAUUAGUGGGGGACAACAUUCCGAAAGGAAUGCUAGUACCGCAUACGUCCUACGGGAGAAAGCAGGGGAUCUUCGGACCUUGCGCUAAUAGAUGAGCCUAAGUCGGAUUAGCUAGUUGGUGGGGUAAAGGCCUACCAAGGCGACGAUCUGUAGCGGGUCUGAGAGGAUGAUCCGCCACACUGGGACUGAGACACGGCCCAGACUCCUACGGGAGGCAGCAGUGGGGUAUAUUGGACAAUGGGGGGAACCCUGAUCCAGCCAUGCCGCGUGUGUGAAGAAGGCCUUAUGGUUGUAAAGCACUUUAAGCGAGGAGGAGGCUACUGAGACUAAUACUCUUGGAUAGUGGACGUUACUCGCAGAAUAAGCACCGGCUAACUCUGUGCCAGUAGCCGCGGUAAUACAGAGGGUGCGAGCGUUAAUCGGAUUUACUGGGCGUAAAGCGUGCGUAGGCGGCUUUUUAAGUCGGAUGUGAAAUCCCCGAGCUUAACUUGGGAAUUGCAUUCGAUACUGGGAAGCUAGAGUAUGGGAGAGGAUGGUAGAAUUCCAGGUGUAGCGGUGAAAUGCGUAGAGAUCUGGAAGAAUACCGAUGGCGAAAGAGCCAUCUUGCCCUAAUACUGACGCUGAAGUACGAAGCAUGGGGAGCAACACGAUUAAUACCCUGGUUGUCCAUGCCGUAAA